rnacentral:rRNA from 1 species
UUCCCUAGUACGGCGAGUGAAGCGGGAAGAGCUCAAAUUUGAAAUCUGGUAGCCUUCGGUUGCCCGAGUUGUAAUCUAGAGAAGUGUUUUCCGCGUUGGCCCAUGUACAAGUCCCUUGGAACAGGGCGUCAUAGAGGGUGAGAAUCCCGUCCUUGACAUGGACCCCCAAUGCUUUGUGAUACACUUUCAACGAGUCGAGUUGUUUGGGAAUGCAGCUCAAAAUGGGUGGUGAAUUCCAUCUAAAGCUAAAUAUUGGCGAGAGACCGAUAGCGAACAAGUACCGUGAGGGAAAGAUGAAAAGCACUUUGGAAAGAGAGUUAAACAGUACGUGAAAUUGUUGAAAGGGAAACGAUUGAAGUCAGUCAUGCUCUUUGGAUUAAGCCGUUCUGCGGUGUAUUUCAUUGAGCGGGGUCAACAUCAGUUUUGAUCGCUGGAAAAGGGCAGGAGGAAGGUAGCACUCUCGGGUGAACUUAUAGCCUCUUGUCGUAUACAGUGAUUGGGACUGAGGAACGCAGCAUGCCUUUUGGCCGGGAUUCGUCCACGUACAUGCUUAGGAUGUUGACAUAAUGGCUUUAAACGACCCGUCUUGAAACACGGACCA